rnacentral:rRNA from 1 species
GAUGAACGCUGGCGGCGUGCCUAAUACAUGCAAGUCGAGCGACCAGACGAGGAGCUUGCUCCUCUGACGUUAGCGGCGGACGGGUGAGUAACACGUGGAUAACCUACCUAUCAGACUGGGAUAACUUCGGGAAACCGGAGCUAAUACCGGAUCAUAUAUUGAACCGCUUGGUUCAAUAGUGAAAGACGGUUUUGCUGUCCCUUAUAGAUGGAUCCGCGCCGCAUUAGCUAGUUGGUAAGGUAACGGCUUACCAAGGCAACGAUGCGUAGCCGACCUGAGAGGGUGAUCGGCCACACUGGAACGGAGACACGGUCCAGACUCCUACGGGAGGCAGCAGUAGGGAAUCUUCCGCAAUGGGCGAAAGCCUGACGGAGCAACGCCGCGUGAGUGAUGAAGGUCUUCGGAUCGUAAAUCUCUGUUAUUAGGGAAGAACAAAUGUGUAAGUAACUAUGCACGUCUUGACGGUACCUAAUCAGAAAGCAACGGCUAACUACGUG